GACGUAGGGGGCAAGCGUUAUUCGGAAUUAUUGGGCGUAAAGCGUGCGUAGGCGGAUUCGUAAGUCUGGCGUGAAAUUUCUCGGCUUAACCGAGGCAGGUCGUCGGAUACUAUGAGACUAGAGGACGGUAGAGGCGUGUGGAAUUCCGGGUGUAGUGGUGAAAUGCGUAGAGAUCCGGAGGAACACCAGUGGCGAAGGCGACACGCUGGGCCGUACCUGACACUGAUGCGCGACAGCAUGGGGAGCAAACAGG
rnacentral:rRNA from 1 species